CGUAGGGGCGAAGCGUUAUCCGGAAGUUAUUGGGCGUAAAGAGUGCGUAGGUGGUUACCUAAGCGCAAGGUUUAAUUUAGAGGCUCAACCUCUACUUGCCUUGCGAACUGGGCUACUUGAGUGCAGGAGGGGAAAGCGGAAUUCCUAGUGUAGCGGUGAAAUGCGUAGAUAUUAGGAGGAACACCAGCGGCGAAGGCGGCUUUUCUGGACUGUAACUGACACUGAGGCACGAAAGCGUAGGUAGCAAACAGGAUU
rnacentral:rRNA from 1 species